UACAGAGGGGGCAAGCGUUGUUCGGAAUUACUGGGCGUAAAGGGCGCGUAGGCGGCCGCUUAAGUCGAACGUGAAAUCCCCGGGCUCAACCCGGGAACUGCGUCCGAUACUGGAUGGCUUGAAUCCGGGAGAGGGAUGCGGAAUUCCAGGUGUAGCGGUGAAAUGCGUAGAUAUCGGGAGGAACACCAGUAGCGAAGGCGACACUCUGGGCCGGAACUGACGCUGAGGAGCGAAAGCGUGGGGAGCAAACAGG
rnacentral:rRNA from 1 species